UCACUUCGUAUCUCCCAAGUGGGACAGAAC
rnacentral:piRNA from 1 species